GAGAUGUGGGUUCAAUCCCUAGGUCAGGAAGAUCCUCUGGAGGAAGGCAUGGCAAAACCCACUCCAGUAUUCUUGCCUGGAGAAUCCCAUGGACAGAGGAAGCUGGUAGGCUAUAGUCCAUGGGAUCGCAAAGAGUCAGACACGACUG